AGAUUGAACCCAUGGCCUUUCAACACUUAAAAAAAUUUUUUUUCUUUUACUUUCAGACAGGAUCUCACUAAGUCGUUAAGUUGCCCAAGCUGUGCUGGUACUAGUGAUCCUCCUGCCUCAGUUCCCGAGAGUGCUGGGAUUAUAGGUGGGCAUCAGUAUUUCCCACUGUUUCUGCUCCUUAAUCCUAAACUAGCAUGUGGAUGGACUGGAUCCCUCAUCUCUUGGAUGGACUAGGCCCACCUGUCACACAGGGCAGAGGUGUGUUUGCCCCUUUAUGUCCAUGGCAGUUUUCAUUCAUUCUGGAGAACAGAAGCCACACCAGCUGGACUGUCCAAGCCCACAUCUCCAUGUGCAGAAUUCCCACCAUGUUUUCCAAACAAAGGUAAAGAAAUCUUGCGUGAUUGCUUGGUCUGACCUCUCUUGUGCUGAUUUACAUAACGUGCGUUCAUAUCAAACAGUCUUGAUCGAGGGUUGUACCAUGGAAUUCCACGUUUAGUGGUAAAGGGGCUCUCCAGCACCAAGGCCUAUGUACAAAGAGAUUAACUUUAGCUGAACAGCAAAUUGGACGUUUUAUCCAAUUGCCUACAAAUUAGAAAGUGGCAAGUAGUUUUGAUGAAGUCAAAAUUUUCUUAUUCACUUGUGAAUUUUCAUUUUAUUUUCUACAUGUAGUAUAUAUUAUAUAUAUAUUUCUUCUUCCUCCUCCUCCUUCUCUUCCUCUUUCCUUUCUCUUCCUUCUCC
rnacentral:lncRNA from 1 species